rnacentral:rRNA from 1 species
UACGUAGGGUGCGAGCGUUGUCCGGAAUUAUUGGGCGUAAAGAGCUCGUAGGCGGUGUGUCACGUCGGCCGUGAAAACCUGCAGCUUAACUGUGGGCGUGCGGUCGAUACGGGCAUCACUGGAGUUCGGCAGGGGAGACUGGAAUUCCUGGUGUAGCGGUGAAAUGCGCAGAUAUCAGGAGGAACACCGGUGGCGAAGGCGGGUCUCUGGACAGUUCCUGACACUGAGGCACGAAGGCCAGGGGAGCAAACGGG